GUAACCCAGAGUAAAAUCUGUUUUACUAGCAUUUAGCAAUUUCCUGCACUUAUUUCCUGCCAUUGAACACAUCACCAAUACAUGACUCCAACCACAUGACUUUGCUCAGCCAAUCGGAUGGCAUGUAGGUCAUAGUAAGCCUGUCCCGGCUUCCUCCCGUCAGAUGCGUGGAGGCAAGCCAGGUGACAGAGCUGUUGCAGACGCUGAUUACUGUGAGCCAGAGCCAUAGUGUUGUUGUGCACUGAACAGAACGGAAUUGGCCAGGUGACCCUUUUUGGGUAUGAAAAAGGAUGGCGAGCCAAUGAACGGCUAGGAGCAGGACUCAUUCUGCAUUUUAGCUUCCACUGGACUGGUAGGAAGCUAUCAAAGACGACGCUCUGUCCCCAUUUCCCAAACACACUGAUUUCCACAAUCAUACACACCAUUCCCCCCGUUUAUGGACAAUAGCGCUUGGACAUCUCUCAUGGACAUUCAGAUGAAACUCAUGGACUUCAGUGUGGAUCAGUGGUUUGGAUGUUAACAUGUGUUACUUAUGGGGAACUGUUUUUUGUUUUUGAGAAUCUAUAUUGCUUGGUAUAAGCCAUAAGCCUGAAGAAUUUGCUUAGUUGUCUUUGCAUCCCCACUGGGUUUUUGAUUUAUUGAAUAGCUGCAGCAGGAAUGAUUAUUUAAGUUUUCCUUAUCUUUUCUUGUUAUUUUCGGUUAAAUACAUGGUACCUGCAAAA